GGUAAAUAGGCCCAAGACUAGCGUUUCAGUCUCCCAGUCUUCGGGCUCUGGAAGAAAGGCAUCUAACGAUGCAGGGGAGAGUCCCGAUUCCGGAUCUAAGAGUUUUAGGACUGGAUGGUUCGAUGGUAUGGAGAUAAUCGUGGAUCUUUGGCAGCUUUCUUGGGAGUGAAUGGAUAUGGCCCCCAUUCAGCUCUGUAUGCAAGCUCUGCCCCCAAGGCUGACCUUUAAAAAGCCUAAAAACAAUCUUCCCUGGCCUUGUACAAAUGUCCUUUUAUUUCUCAGAUUAUUUGGAUAUUUGUCUCUUGUCAUUUAAAUUUAAA